rnacentral:rRNA from 1 species
CGGGGGCACGGGGGGCCUACGGGAGGCAGCAGUGGGUAAUAUUGGACAAUGGGCGCAAGCCUGAUCCAGCAAUGCCGCGUGAGUGAUGAAGGCCUUCGGGUUGUAAAGCUCUUUCGCACGCGACGAUGAUGACGGUAGCGUGAGAAGAAGCCCCGGCUAACUUCGUGCCAGCACCCGCGGUAAUAAGGCGCGAA